rnacentral:rRNA from 1 species
UACGUAGGGGACGAGCGUUGUCCGGAAUUACUGGGCGUAAAGGGCGCGCAGGCUGUAGAUCAAGUCAGCUGUGAAAUGUCUGGGCUUAACCCGGGCAUGCGGUUGAAACUGAUGUACUGGAGUGCUGUAGAGGCAAGUGGAAUUCCCAGUGUAGCGGUGAAAUGCGUAGAUAUUGGGAAGAACACCGGUGGCGAAUGCGACUUGCUGGGCAGCAACUGACGCUGAGGCGCGAAAGCCAGGGGAGCAAACGGGGAUUAGA